rnacentral:lncRNA from 1 species
GGGAAGUGUCACACACAGUCUGAUUUACAGUGUCCUGGGACAGUGUCUCCAUUCACUCACAGGGUCACCUGGACCGUGCCUUGCAGACACAUCCACAGUGUUACAGAGAUACACACGGAGUCCCAAACAGAUAGAGAAGAGAGUGUCUGCAGGACAGCAGCAGCAGACAGUGGCACAGACACAGGCCCAGGUGAGUGUCCUGCAUAGAGCAAUGUCCAAGGAGCCAGCUCUCCACUGUGCCCAUCUUGGAAGCGGUAAGGAGGUGGGGGUGGGUGUCAGGGGUGGGACAGGGCUCAGGGGCAGCACCCAGGGCUUUCCUCUCUAAGUCCCCUUGUCCCAAAACUCAGGGCCUUCCUCAAAGAGCCCGAGGGAAUUCUCCGGCUGGGUAAACUCAGGGUCCCCAGGAGCCUCUCCAGCCCCCACAGUCAUUAAUCAUAACUGAACUCUCCUGGAUGAAGUUUCCCAUCCCUUUGGGGUUUCUGUCUCCCAGUAUCACUUAAUAUAUACCCUCAUCGGGCCAUAUAUACCUGCUCCUAAUAAACCUCUAUGACUUUAAUGAA